rnacentral:rRNA from 1 species
CCCAACUGUGUAUCCGGAUAUGGUUGGCUUGGAGAUCGAGUCGGGGUUUGUUGAAACUCCUUUUUUUUAUAUAUAUAUAUACGCCGUUUCUCAUCGCCCACAAAACAACAACGCAAGGCCCCGAUCCCCUUUUCAGAAGCAUGGCUUCAUUGCUGUUCAGAUCCGCCGCAGGCAGCGCUCUCCGGCGAUCGAUCCCGCAAGGGUCCUUCCCCGUGCUCCGGCCAUCGAUCCCGCAGGGGUCCUUCUCUCGGAGCCCAGGGCGGUCCCUCUGCGAUGGCGCUGGGAGGAUCGAACCUAAUGCGCAUUCUAGCGCAAAACCCAACAUGGGACACUCCAACAGAUUCGAGGAUGAAACAGAAUUCUGCACUCAUGGUCAAACGGAAUUUAAAGAGUUGGCUUCCAACAUACGCGCCAUGCGGGACAAAGUGCGACUCUUGGAAAAAACAUAUGAAGAAUCGGAAAGAUCGGACAAGCGUAGAAAAGUGCUGGUACUGUGUUCCACAACUGCUCUCCUCGUUACCUUUUUUGUAUUUGGUUGAGAGAACAUGUCUUUUUGAAGUUUCGAUGAAAGACCGAUAUUCUAAGUUUCCAUGGGAAUUAUCUGUUGUGAAAAAAGGUUGUAGGAAGCUCAUGUAAGAUGGAACAAUGAUACAAGACGUGCGAAUUAGUUGGACCCAGCAGCCAACGGUAGCAGCCCGGAAAUGUCAGCAAAAGCGUUUUAGUUGGCUCUAACCGUGUCUUAAUAUACUUUGACUCGAAACCAUGUUGAUUUGGAUACAUAGUGUUCACGAAUCG